AACCCUCUUUGACAUCGCAUCUUCAAUUCCAGAACUUCCCAUUCCCCCGUGAACUGUCGUGAAAGUUCUAGCUUCAUCGCAAAACCACUCGCCGGUUUCAUAUACGCGGCUACCUGUCCCCAAUCUCGACUUGUUUCUUUGGACCGGAUCCUCAACAGCUGCUACGAUUUUGAGGUUUUACAUCAGCUUGGGUAUAAAACGGUCUUGCUGGAAGUAUGGCCAAGCACCAUCCUGAUCUGAUCAUGUGCAGGAAGCAGCCAGGAAUAGCCAUUGGACGGCUUUGUGAGAAAUGUGAUGGGAAAUGUGUCAUUUGUGAUUCUUACGUUCGGCCUUGUACACUUGUUCGUGUGUGCGAUGAAUGCAACUAUGGUUCUUUUCAGGGUCGCUGUGUCAUCUGUGGAGGGGUUGGGAUUUCUGAUGCUUACUACUGUAAGGAGUGUACUCAGCAGGAGAAAGAUCGUGAUGGUUGUCCUAAAAUUGUCAAUCUUGGAAGUGCCAAAACUGAUCUCUUCUACGAGCGUAAAAAAUAUGGUUUCAAGAAAAGAUGAUUGCUGCUCCAAAGAAAUAAUGCCAAAUUGCAAUUUCAUUCAGUGUUUACCAUUCUCUUGUCAUGUAGUUUGUACUCUUAAUUUUAAUGUGGUAGACAUCCAAGAAAGAAAGUUAGUGAUGUGUUUAGCCAACCUUUGGUUUACUAUGAUCUUUUUUUCUGUCAGUACCGAGUGGGUGUCCUAUCGUGGUUUUGCAACACGAACUAGAAACACUGGCCUGAAUUGUCUUGUUGGUUGUAAUUCUUAAACAAUUUGUAGGUAUGAAAUACAUUAUCUAUAACAUUUGCUCUAGCACUUUAGCACAUUUUUAUAAGAACUUUGCAUGUUUUGCACAA